rnacentral:rRNA from 1 species
UACAGAGGUCUCAAGCGUUGUUCGGAUUCAUUGGGCGUAAAGGGCGCGUAGGCGGCUGCUCAAGUCGGGUGUGAAAGCCCGGGGCUCAACCCCGGAACGGCACCCGAGACUGGGCGGCUCGAGACCGGGAGAGGUGGGUGGAAUACCCAGUGUAGAGGUGAAAUUCGUAGAUAUCGGGAGGAACACCGGUGGCGAAGGCGGCGACCUGGGUAGAUACUGACGCUGAGGCGCGAAAGCGUGGGGAGCAAACAGG